CCCAUGUCAGGAUGGUGCAAACAUGGGAGGGAGGAGUUCUCCAUGCUUUAGUCCACUUGGACCACAAGGAAAUACAGGCUGACAGGGGAUCAGCACACCAAGUCACUUUGGAUCGUUCUUUUCCCCCUCUUUUUGCCUUGUUUCUUUGCUGCUUGCUGUUUCACCUGCCUGGUAGUACCUCAGUGCAGAGGAAAGGCUCCCAGCACAUGCCGGUGUGCAGGACCUGACACAUUAACACCAUGAGCUCUUGGGGACCCUGUGGCCAAGCUGCAUUCAGAGAGGGGCCUGAAGCAGCUGGGCUGUGUCGGGUUCUGCUGCCUCCACCCCAUGCAGGACAAACCCCCCCCAGCCCCACAGCAGAGCCUUGGGGACAACAGGGGCUGGGCAAGCAUCCUCACCCUGCUGCAAGUCAGAGCCUCACCAUCCAGCGAAGGAAACCAGGACCUGGCAGCAGUGGGAGAAACACUGCAGGGAAGCCCCAGCUCUCUGCUAGAAGCCCACAGUGUGCCCAAAAGCUCUGGCUUCUCCAGAUAGCUUUCAGAGCAACUGCUCCUGCUGUCAGGCAGUUUGCAUUGGAGAAGAAGAAUGGCCUUACCUUGCCCCAGCACCUCAUCGCUCACACUAAUUGAAGCAGCCCAUGAGACAGGCCAUGGCAGCACGACCUCAGCACAGGCUCCGUCCCCUCGGUCCCCCACUGCUUACCUGCUGCAGGGAUGCGCUGGCUGCGGACUUUCCACACUCUGGCCACAAAUAACCUGAUGGAGGGCAGCGAGCGAGGCUGGAAAUGCUCCUGCGCAGGAGAUGGGGUACCUGCUCCAGAAGGGCUGGGGAGCAGGGAGCAAAGGGAAGAUGUCCAUGGUCAAUUCGACUGGGGAGAUCCCGUUUCCUGCCUGGGCUGGGAUCAUCCCCAUCUGCCUAAUGCAUAAAGCCCUUUUCCAGCUGUUAAAAACACUGGAGGAAACGUGGAGCUGCAGCACCUCGUGCUCCCCGCUUGCUUUUUUGGGCAGGAAAAUGAUCCAAAGCAUCCGGCAAAGAGGGAGAAUAAAGGCAAAAAGGGCUCGGGAAUGGGGGGAUGGCUGGGAUGUGUGGUGGGGAACGUCUCCAGGGAUGUGGGGCGGGUGGCAGCGUGCCCAGCCCCAGCACAGGCAGCCCAACAAUAACGCGAGGCAUCAGGAGCACACUCAGCGGUGGGAAUCCCAGUCCUUGCCUUAAAAGGAGAUUUCAGGGAUGCUGUUAUUGGAAAAUUGUUUUCUGAUUAUUCAGCUUAUUGAGAGCCUGUUUCAUUAUUUGCAGUGUGACACGAGGGGGGCUGUGGCUGCACAUGAACAGCGACGACCAAGGGUGUUUCCAUGGAUUUCCAGGCCAGGAGAGUCCAUUAAAUCAUCCCGUUUGACCUCCCAUGUUCACAGGCCAAUUCACCCAAUUCCUCUCACAUUGAGCCCAAUAACUUGUGCUUCUGAAUCAAGCAGGAGGACCAGGACUAAGUCCUAUCUCAGCUGAAUGACUUCAAGAGAAGAAGAAUUGGCCAUUGACUUCCCUUGGCUCUCUGUCCUGAUGACAAGAAACCCAUGACAGCAGCAUUCUGCUGUUGACCUAUUUCUAAUGCUGCUGCAUCCCGCUUGCUUUGACCCUCUUUUGGGCAAAGGGGAUGCCCACAUGGCCCCUCAGCCGGUGCCUCCCGUGCAUGUGUGCUGAGCCACAUGGUUUAAUGCAGACAAACAGUGGGAUCCCUCUUGAUCUGCUGUCAGUGAGCAGCUCAAGAGUUAAUAAACUUCGAACAGAUGUGACCAACAUGUCAAGACACGAGAAGUACGUGGUAUGGAUGUUUAUAAGUACAUCGACAGAAGGCAUUCAUAAAAGGUUAUAAACCAUGGUAAUAAGCAACCCAUCAACUUGUUUGGACUCUAACACUUGAUUAACCAUUUAUUAAAAGGUGCAGUAAUCAUUUAUAAGCCAUAA